GACGAACGCUGGCGGCGUGCUUAACACAUGCAAGUCGAACGGAAAGGCCCUGCUUGCAGGGUACUCGAGUGGCGAACGGGUGAGUAACACGUGGGUGAUCUGCCCUGCACUUCGGGAUAAGCCUGGGAAACUGGGUCUAAUACCGGAUAGGAGCCAUUUUUAGUGUGAUGGUAGGAAAGUUUUUUCGGUGUAGGAUGAGCUCGCGGCCUAUCAGCUUGGUGGUGGGGUAAUGGCCUACCAAGGCGGCGACGGGUAGCCGGCCUGAGAGGGUGGACGGCCACAUUGGGACUGAGAUACGGCCCAGACUCCUACGGGAGGCAGCAGGGGGGAAUAUUGCACAAUGGGCGCAAGCCUGAUGCAGCGACGCCGCGUGGGGGAUGACGGCCUUCGGGUUGUAAACUCCUUUCGCUAGGGACGAAGCUUUUUGUGACGGUACCUAGAUAAGAAGCACCGGCUAACUACGUG
rnacentral:rRNA from 1 species